GACGAACGCUGGCGGCGUGCUUAACACAUGCAAGUCGAACGGAAAGGCCCUGCUUUUGUGGGGUGCUCGAGUGGCGAACGGGUGAGCAACACGUGAGUAACCUGCCCUUGACUUUGGGAUAACUUCAGGAAACUGGGGCUAAUACCGGAUAGGAGCUCCUGCUGCAUGGUGGGGGUUGGAAAGUUUCGGCGGUUGGGGAUGGACUCGCGGCUUAUCAGCUUGUUGGUGGGGUAGUGGCUUACCAAGGCUUUGACGGGUAGCCGGCCUGAGAGGGUGACCGGCCACAUUGGGACUGAGAUACGGCCCAGACUCCUACGGGAGGCAGCAGUGGGGAAUAUUGCACAAUGGGCGGAAGCCUGAUGCAGCAACGCCGCGUGCGGGAUGACGGCCUUCGGGUUGUAAACCGCUUUCGCCUGUGACGAAGCGUGAGUGACGGUAAUGGGUAAAGAAGCACCGGCUAACUACGUGCCAGCAGCCGCGGUGAUACGUAGGGUGCGAGCGUUGUCCGGAUUUAGCGGGCGUAAAGGGCUCGUAGGUGGUUGAUCGCGUCGGAAGUGUAAUCUUGGGGCUUAACCCUGAGCGUGCUUUCGAUACGGGUUGACUUGAGGAAGGUAGGGGAGAAUGGAAUUCCUGGUGGAGCGGUGGAAUGCGCAGAUAUCAGGAGGAACACCAGUGGCGAAGGCGGUUCUCUGGGCCUUUCCUGACGCUGAGGAGCGAAAGCGUGGGGAGCGAACAGGCUUAGAUACCCUGGUAGUCCACGCUGUAAACGGUGGGUACUAGGUGUGGGGUCCAUUCCACGGGUUCCGUGCCGUAGCUAACGCUUUAAGUACCCCGCCUGGGGAGUACGGCCGCAAGGCUAAAACUCAAAGGAAUUGACGGGGCCCCGCACAAGCGGCGGAGCAUGCGGAUUAAUUCGAUGCAACGCGUAGAACCUUACCUGGGUUUGACGUGGAUCGGGAGCGCUCAGAGAUGGGUGUGCCUCUUUUGGGGUCGGUUCACAGGUGGUGCAUGGCUGUCGUCAGCUCGUGUCGUGAGAUGUUGGGUUAAGUCCCGCAACGAGCGCAGCCCUUGUUCACUGUUGCCAGCACGUUAUGGUGGGGACUCAGUGGAGACCGCCGGGGUCGACUCGGAGGAAGGUGGGGAUGACGUCAAGUCAUCAUGCCCCUUAUGUCCAGGGCUUCACGCAUGCUACAAUGGCUGGUACAGAGAGUGGCGAGCCUGUGAGGGUGAGCGAAUCUCGGAAAGCCGGUCUCAGUUCGGAUUGGGGUCUGCAACUCGACCUCAUGAAGUCGGAGUCGCUAGUAAUCGCAGAUCAGCAACGCUGCGGUGAAUACGUUCCCGGG
rnacentral:rRNA from 1 species